rnacentral:lncRNA from 1 species
UCAUCUCCUCCAUCUCAGCUUUAAGUUUCUGCAACUCCCCAACAUGGUCUUGUGACACACGACUAGGUGUGGAAGAAGAUGAAGAGGGCUUCGGCCCAUCCCCAAAUCCAAGAAUGUAUCUCUUCCUUUUUUCAAGUGCCUGCCUAGACAUCUCCUCUGAUGUUAAUUGCACACCGGAUUGGGAAGUUUCUUCUCGCAAGCUCA